rnacentral:rRNA from 1 species
UACGUAGGGAGCGAGCGUUGUCCGGAUUCAUUGGGCGUAAAGAGCUCGUAGGCGGCUUGGCAAGUCGGGUGUGAAAACUCCAGGCUCAACCUGGAGACGCCACCUGAUACUGCCAUGGCUAGAGUCCGGUAGGGACCACGGAAUUCCUGGUGUAGCGGUGAAAUGCGCAGAAUAUCGAGGAGGACACCGGUGGCGAAGGCGGAUGGUCUGGGCCGGUACUGACGCUGAGGAGCGAAAGCGUGGGGAGCGAA